rnacentral:rRNA from 1 species
UGGGGAAUAUUGGACAAUGGGCGCAAGCCUGAUCCAGCCAUGCCGCGUGGGUGGUGAAGGCCUUAGGGUUGUAAAGCCCUUUCGGCGGGGAAGAUAAUGACGGUACCCGCAGAAGAAGCCCCGGCUAACUUCGUGCCAGCAGCCGCGGUAAUACGAAGGGGGCUAGCGUUGCUCGGAAUUACUGGGCGUAAAGCGCACGUAGGCGGCUUGUUAAGUCGGGGGUGAAAUCCCGGAGCUCAACUCCGGAACUGCCUUCGAUACUGGCAAGCUCGAGUCCGGGAGAGGUGAGUGGAACUGCGAGUGUAGAGGUGAAAUUCGUAGAUAUUCGCAAGAACACCAGUGGCGAAGGCGGCUCACUGGCCCGGUACUGACGCUGAGGUGCGAAAGCGUGGGGAGCAAACA